rnacentral:rRNA from 1 species
UACGUAGGGUGCAAGCGUUGCCCGGAUUUAUUGGGCGUAAAGGGCGCGCAGGCGGCUACGCACGUCCGUUGUGAAAUCGCUCGGCUCAACUGGGCGGGGUCGGCGGAUACGGCGUAGCUGGAGCAAGCUAGGGGGCAAUGGAAUUCCCGGUGUAGUGGUGGAAUGCGUAGAUAUCGGGAGGAACACCAGUGGCGAAGGCGGUUGCCUGGAGCUUUGCUGACGCUGAGGCGCGAAAGCCAGGGGAGCAAACGGG